UAAAGUGCGGUUAAAAAGUAGAAGCAAUUUUACAAUCUAGUUCCCCAAAACAAACUUAGCAGUAUGCCAUUUUAGGAAAAGUAAAAAUGAGUUUGUCUUUUGGCUCGCCGUUUUAAUGUCCAACGCUGAAAAGAAAUAUAUCUUUGCAAAUUUGAGGCCUGUGUCAGUAAAUUCAGUCGAGGUGAAGUCAUCCAGGAUGAAUGGCUUUUUUACAAUGACCUAUAUCCUAGAGAGCUCCGUGCCUUCUUCUUUUUUUCUGAUUGAUGCUUUUAGACACGCUACCCUUACAUCACUUAGUCUUUCUUUUUAUUUUUUUUUUAUACACAGAAGUUGCUUUCAUGAAUGCAAAGUGUUUUUUGCAAUGACAAUCUGUAGGUAUGGAGCCAGCAAUACUCCUUUAUAUAUAUUUUAAAUAUUCAGCUUUAGGGUUGUUUUUAUUCACCUGGAAUAAGGCUUCAAACAAAGUGGAAAUAAUUAGGAAUCAAAUCACAAUCUAUGCUGAUGUUUUUUUCUAAUUGCAGGUGAGUCUGGAACGAUAAACAUGAGUUCACUAUCUGUUUGGUACUAACGUUGACUUAUCGGACAACAUCAUUCUAUGAGUGUACACAGGCACACUAAGUAGACACAAACUUCAAGUCAACCUGUUGCUACAUGCCAGUCAUUCCGACAUUCUGAUGCCUACGUUGGGUAAGCGAGAUGAACAUAAAUUGAAGUUUCAGAUUUUGAUAUGCAAUUGAAAUAGAAAGGUGCAUUUUACCUGUGGUGGAGUGGAGACUCUCCAAGCUCCAGUACCGAGACAGGACACCCCUCAAAGUGCCGCUCAGGCUACCUUCAAAUCCCCUGAUACAUCCACCAACCCCAAGACCAGCGUCCACCAUGCUGUCCAUAAUUCCGCUUGUCAGUGAUGCUCCAUGACAUUCGGACCCAGGCGACUCCCCUGAGCUGCCGCUGCUACCACAACUGUCCUUGGGCAGGGGUGCACUCCCUUCUGACGUUUGAUGGGUCCGCAUUUUGAUGCGGACACAAACAACAAGGGAGGGAAUUGUAGUGAGCAAUGCAAAAAAAGGAAGCACAGCGGCUGAAAAAAAUGGUUUAUUCGGCCACCACGGAGACUGCUCGAAGACGAAAGACUAGGCUUGCACUCGCUGAGCCCAGACAAUCCAGACCGACCGGGGUGCUCUGUGAGAAACAGUGAUCCUUGAGGGACAACCGUCCAAACGCCUUAUUGGGUCCAGUGGUAACUCUGGUUUUAAUCUGUCAGAGUACAAAAAUUAUUUACUCAUGAUCAAUAAUGUAGUACUCAGUCUUUGUGAGUGUCAAGCAUGAUAGUUACCUUUGAAUUAAAGGUUGCAGGUUUGUUUGCAUUUUGUACAUGCAAACAAUUAUGCUCCAUUGUUUCACUGACUUGAUUGGUGCUUGAUUGAUGUUGGUCUUUUGGUAAUUUGGGAUUCUCCGCUGUAUGAUAACCUUGGUUGUCUCUGGUGCUGAACCUUAAAGGUAUACAAUUGCCUGACUUUUCCCUCCCAGCCUUGUGGUUUUUUGCUACACACAUGGCAAACACCUUUCUCUGAUUGUGCUGAAGCGAUAGUGAUUUUAUUCUUCUGGUUUUAUUUUGAACUAAACAGAAGGUGUCAGAAAGUGCAGGCUGAACCUUGAGGUCUUCAAGUCCCACCAGGGCACCGAGAGAAUCCUCCAACUCUGAAUCCAAAAUCGGGUGGGCCUCCCUUGAUUUGCUACGGUAUUCAUAACUUCCUUCUAUCGUCUUCUGGCUCAUUUUGAAGGCAUUCUCACCUAAGCCACAAUCUUCUAUUCCAUUAGAUAAUUGAGUGAGGUCUUCAAGAGAUUGUUUAGGCUGAGGAAGGGAAGAAAACGAGUGAUAUUACCCCACAAUUUGAACAUCAUCCUAAAAUAUUCACAAUUUAAAAAAAAAGAGUAUACUUACUUUUCUGUGUAUCAAUGUGCAGGCUGUAUCCAGCACCAAAAUGACAAAGUGAGUAGAAAACCAGCUUAGCACUGCUCCCAUGGUGUAUCUCACACUGGAUGCCAACACAUAACUAAAAUCCAGGAAGACUGUCAGUCUCGAUCCAUGCUUGCGGCAUUCUUUGUUCCUCCAUUGGUCCCAUUUGAUAAAAUCUCAAAAUGUUAAAUUAAUAAUCAUUUUCUUUCUUCAUCAGCAGUAUAGAGGCUCUUUAACACACAGGGAAAAAGGAAACGGUGACCCGCCGUGGUAAUUCUGUGAUCCUCCUACAGUGGCUUAAUCCACCCUGAAAAGGCAUGUACACUGUGAUCUCUGGGAUAAUAAGGACAGACACUAAGAUGCCUGGCUAUAAAUACAGAGCUGUAAAGUCAAGGAGGGCAUUAUGGACCAGUUCAUUGAAGAAAACGUCCAGUGCACAAUAAAAUGGUUGUAAUGCAUCUACAUUACCUUGUGGCCUGAAAACUGUCAAUAAACUGCAAAUUAUAGGGAAGCAACAGAAGUAAUUUCUUCAUGAGGACAUUAUUUUAUAGAUAUUAUUUAAAAGAAAACUUUUAUUUUUCCCUUGGUAGUUUUUGUCUCUUCAUAUACAGUAAAUCUCUGUAUAUGUUAAUAGGAGCCAAUAAACGAUUUGCUGAAAACCUCACUUUUGGCGCCACCUUGUGGUAUGUUGGUGCCAACGACACAAUUAGAAGUGAAUUGAAGAGCUCCAGCACCCUUUGCCACAAUCUGCCUAUAUUAUAUUAACUGGUAUUGGGGGAGAAAAUUAAAAGAGACCAGAAUCUAAUGAGCGAUUUUCUUGCUUUAAAUUUCAAUCUAUUAAGAGUCUACUCAGUCAGCAAUUUUAAAGUAGAUUUGGCUUCAGAUGAAAUUUGCACAACUAACUGACAAAGUCCUUACUGGUCAAUAAAGACACUGAACAAAUACUUUGUAGUACUGUAAGUGAAUUUUGUGCAGUUCCCAGUAUUGAUUUGUUUGACCUCAAGCUUCAAGCAUUUUCUUUUAUUCUACAACACAACAACAAACCAGAUCUUUGAUCGAGAAAGUUUACUGGAUGUACAUUCAUUUUUACAAAAAAAAAAAAAUGCUUAGUUAUAACUAGUUACAACGACAUGACAUUGUUGCCAAAAAAUUGCUCUCAUGUUUUUUGUCUUCACAAGACGUCUCCGAAUCGACCCAGCGUGCAGUGUUUCAGUAACAGCAGAAGCUACGCCAAACCCCUGGUGUCGCUGUAUAAACUUCAUGGCUCCUCAAUAUGGCUUCCCUCCAAUGCCAGAGAGAAUCUCCUGCCUUUCUGUAGCAGUGGGCAUGUCAGGCUUUACACCCUCACUCCUCCUGUGCAACAUUAUGUUGUGCUGAGGAGGAAGAAAGACAAGAAUGAGCAAAAACAUUGCUUAAUAUAACACCCCUGGAACUGUACACUGUAUAUAUCUUGUUAUUCCCACGCCAUGUAUGGUCCAGUAAUUUCCUGCAUAUUCAGUCCCCACAAAUUUAAAGGUAAAUGCAUAUUUAUAUACCCAAUAUUUCCUGCAGUUCUUGUAUCUCUGAAAGUAGACUGUGCACAUAUCCUUAUUAUAGUUAGAAGUAUCCAUACACUUCUGCGAGGCAUCGCUUUCCUAUGAAAAAGAAAACAUACAAAAGAAAUUGAUCAAACAAAACAAGAUUCUAUAUUGCCAAGGAUAAGGUAUUACGUCAAUGCAAGGAUUUAUGUCUUCAUUCCGGAAUUUUCUGGCAUUUUUGGCCAUUUGUAUCUGUGUAGACAAAAAAAAAAAAAACUUUGUUAAACCUCCAGUACGAUUUCAAUUUAUUCCAAU